rnacentral:rRNA from 1 species
AAACUUUACAAUGCAGGCAACUGCGAUAAGGGAACAUCGAGUGGCAAGCAUAAUGUUUGUCUGUCCAGCCGUCUAAAAAACGGUUGUUAGCAAGGGCCGGGCAAGACCGGUGCCAGCCGCCGCGGUAAUACCGGCGGCUCGAGUGGUGGCCGAUAUUAUUGAGUCUAAAGGGUCCGUAGCCGGCUUUGCAAGUCCUGUGGGAAAUCCAGCGGCUUAACCGUUGGGCGUCCGCGGGGUACUACAUUGCUUGGGACUGGGAGAGGUAGGAGGUACUCAAGGGGUAGGAGUGAAAUCCUGUAAUCCUUUGGGGACCACCGGUGGCGAAGGCGUCCUACCAGAACAGGUCCGACGGUGAGGGACGAAAGCUAGGGGCACGAACCGG